rnacentral:rRNA from 1 species
UGAGCAACCUACCUUCGAGUUGGGGAUAGCCCUGGGAAACCAGGAUUAAUACCCGAUGUGGUCACAACAGGACAUCCUGAUGUGAGUAAAGGCGUAAGCCGCUCGAUGACGGGCUCGCGGCCUAUUAGCUUGUUGGUGGGGUAACGGCCUACCAAGGCGAUGAUGGGUAGCUGGUCUGAGAGGACGAUCAGCCACACUGGGACUGAGACACGGCCCAG